rnacentral:snoRNA from 1 species
UCCCAGCACACAUGUCCACACCAAAGGGCAGAGUAAAAACACUACUUUUGGGUGAAGUUGCAGCAUGUUGUGGUGUUUUGCUUCAACUAGUGGUAUAACAAGA